rnacentral:misc_RNA from 1 species
AGCAGCAAGCAUAACCAGCAACACAAAAACUAUUGAACCAACCAAGGAGAGGGCAAUAGCAGCUGCUACUUGGUUGCAGAAUCUCCCAAACACGUUGCACACUUUGUUCCACCUCACAUGUGAAUUCCCUUUGUAUCCUAAAACUCCAACAGCUAAAGCUGCUCCGUUGCCGGAAAAUAGCAAGGCCACCGCCAAUAGGUCUAGAAUUAUGGUAAUAGGCACCAAGCUUUUCUUCCUACUAAAAGAAAGGAGUAGAGACACUGCUGCAUAUGCGCAAGCUAUGGCAUUUGAUACCACAAAGAACACAAAGGCAGAGAGAUAAUGCCACUUAGCAGUAACAGGAACACGUAAAGGUGGCAAGCCAUCCACAGCCUGAAUUUGGGCAACUGUGCUCUGCUUAUUAACCCCAAGAACUAUAGAAGCAGCCAAAGUUAGCACCAAGGCCAUAACUCUUAGAAGAAAGAAACUAAUCCUCCAAGCUCUUCCUUCCUUUGCUCUUCUAUUCUCCACACCAUCCAUGGCACCAUGACUAAAUUUGUUUUCGGUAUCCAUGGUUACAGUAGCCCAAGAAACCUAGCUAGCCUUAAGUGGAGAAAUAGAAAGAAAGAGAGAAUGGUAAGGAAGAAUUGGAGAAUAGAGGGCUAAGAGGGCAGUAGUGGCUUUAAAUAGAGAGGAAGAA